rnacentral:rRNA from 1 species
UACGUAGGGGGCAAGCGUUGUCCGGAUUUAUUGGGCGUAAAGGGCGCGUAGGCGGUUUCUUACGUUUGAAGUGACAGUGGGUGGCUUAACUACCCAAGGCCUUUGAAAACUGGGGAACUUGAGGACCAGAGAGGGACAUAGAAUUCCGGGUGGAGUGGUGAAAUGCGUAGAUAUCCGGAGGAAUACCAAAGGCGAAGGCAGUGUCCUGGAGGGUGACUGACGCUGAGGCGCGAAAGCUAGGGGAGCGAACAGG